rnacentral:rRNA from 1 species
UACGUAGGGACCAAGCGUUGUUCGGAUUUACUGGGCGUAAAGGGCGCGUAGGCGGCGUGACAAGUCACUUGUGAAAUCUCUGAGCUUAACUCAGAACGGCCAAGUGAAACUGUUGUGCUAGAGUGCAGAAGGGGCAAUCGGAAUUCUUGGUGUAGCGGUGAAAUGCGUAGAUAUCGGGAGGAACAUCAGUGGCGAAGGCGGCUACCUGGCCCAAUACUGACACUCAGGUGCGACAGCGUGGGGAGCAAACAGG